rnacentral:rRNA from 1 species
AUUGAACGCUGGCGGCAGGCCUAACACAUGCAAGUCGAACGAGUGGCGGACGGGUGAGUAACGUCUGGGAAACUGCCUGCUGGAGGGGGAUAACUACUGGAAACGGUAGUUAAUACCGCAUACCAUCAGAUGCGCCCAGAUGGGAUUAGCUUGUUGGUGGGGUAACGGCGCACCAAGGCGGCGAACCCUAGCUGGUCUGAGAGGAUGACCACCCACAUGGGAACUGAUACACGGUCCAGAGUCCUACGGGAGGCAGCAGUGGGGAAUAGUGCGCAAUGGGCGCAAGCCUGGUGCAGCGGUGCCGCGUGUAUGGAGAAGGCCUUCGGGUGGUAAAGUACUUUCAGCGGGGAGGCGUUACCCGCAGAAGAAGCACCGGCUAACUCCGUGCCAGCAGCCGCGGUAAUUC